GUAGACUCAUGCCCUGCCCACAGUGAGUACCGAUAUUAUUAUUAUUGUUAUUAUUAUGAUUCUUAGAGAAACAGAAAUACCCCUGGAUUUUGGGCCCAGCAGCGGGUUGGAAACCACAGCGAGGACAACAAUUAUAUUGUCAUUAUUGUUAUUAUUAGAGAAAAAAGAAUCCCUGGACUUUGAGCCCAGCAAAGGGGUAAAAACCACGCUCCAGAGCGACGCGCAUCUGUUCACUGAAGGUGACUCGGUGGAAAGUGCUUCCCGGGGCAAGACGGCUGGCAGCUCGUCAUCAGAGUAAUUAAAAAACAAAUUGAAAGGGGAUUCCCAAACGGUGUCACUGUGACAGCCGCACAUCUCCCCCGAGGAUGGUGCACUGUGAAAAAUGCUUUCCUUGUGAGAAUCAGACCUUGUUCGACAGUACAGGGCAGAUUUCCCAACUCUUCUAUGGCGUCCAGAUGAUCCAAAAUGGAACGCCGAGAGACAGCCCAACAAUCAGUCGAUCAAUCCCUCAGUGCUCAGCGGUAUGUACUGAGCAAUCGGGAGAGUACGACACGACAGAGUUAGACGUGUUCCCUGCCCAGAAUGAGCUUACCGUCUCCAAGUGGAGACGUACAAGCGUAACUAAAUACGUAUUCAUUUCGUAAAUACAUAUUCAUAAAUAUAAUGCUAAAUUUAUAUAUUUAGAAAUCAAUUUGUAGAUAAUAUGAUAAUAAAUCGAUUUAUUUCUAAAUAUAAACUCGACCAACGUUAGGUUGUCAGCAUUAUUAUUAUAGAUUAAUCAAUCAGUGGCAUUUAGUGAGCGCCUGCUAUGUGCGGAAAACCGUACCGAGUACUUGAGAGUGUGCAACACUACAGUUAGCGGACAGAUUCCCUGCCCACAGGAAGCCUGUAGAGACGGAUAGUAAUAGCAAUACGCUAAACUGAUCAAUCAGUGAAACAUAUUCAUCGAGCGCUUACUGCGCGCAGAGCACCGUACCGAGCGCCCGGGAGAGGACGAUAUAAGCGAGUUUGGCAGUCGAGCCUCCGCGGAGACGGUCGUCUCUCCGGGCCCACCGGCAGCGAGAGCCGCCCGUCUGGGGAAGAAGGAGCAGAUUUCGAUUCUGUACCAGCCUCGUCGGCAGAAAUGAUGCGCAGGGUUAAAGCCGCAAUUGGCAGCGGGGCCAGGAAGCGCAGUGGUGCCCGCCCGAGCCCGGCUGGAGUUUGCCGUGCCAAGACGCCGGAGGAUUCCCUGCGUGCUUCUCCACUGAGCAAACGCCCUCUGGACGGAGAUGAAGGCCAGCACACGGACAGCACCCGGUAAAGAUUCCAGCAGGGAUCCGGGAAGACCCCCACGAGGGGCUGAGAGGCAUCGUUCCGUAUGAUACAUCACCGUCUCCAGCCGCCAAGAUGCCAGAGCCAAAUGUUUUUUGAUUUUCUUCCUCUGACCUAAACAACGAGCAACAUUUUCAUUUCUCUUCAGCGCCGAGACUAGGCUAAUAUCUCUUGAAAGUCUUUUAAAUUGAUACCCGGUAGCUCUCGAAGGUCAUUUAAAUUCCUAAUGAAAAGUCACUGCAGGCCACGGGACCAAAUAAAUACAUUGUUAUUGAUCAUGCAAUAAGGUAUUAGGCUAAUUUAAUAAACCUCUCCCUGAGAUGUA